ensembl:lncRNA
GUGACUCAGCAGUAGUAUGUGGCUGACAUUAAAUUAGAGUCACGUUUACGUAACACGUCAUAGUUUCGACGAGCUGUAACCACAGAGCUGAUGGGAGACUGUGGGGGUGUUUUUACCUCAGAAGGUUCUCUGUUGGGACUGCCCACGCAGCCGAGAAGCAACUGAAGGGACUCUGCUUUCUUUUUGAGCUGCUUAAAACACACAGAUGGAAUGAGUGCCCAUGUGCAAGCUUUGGUAGCAGAACAGCUUCAGGGGUUGGCCUUCGUGAGAAGAGACCUCCAUCUCCAACAGAGCCAGUGAUCUCUGAAAUACACCUGCUGCAGGAUAAAGAUCGAAAAGAAAUAUCUUCCUGGCAGCACUGUGUAUGGAAGGAAUAAGGAAAGUAACAAGGAGAAAGUUGCGCGCAUUUACAAGUCCAUGUGAUCGUUCACCUUUAUUUUAACGCCAUUUCACCUCAAUUUCCUUCAACUCUGUCUAUCUAUGCCAACCGCAACCGAUGAUCCUGCAACCCAGAACUGUG